CUUUAAUGUAGCAUGUGCUAACCAGAUCCUCUUGUGACCAGGGUUUUGCAAGCCCCCUUCAAACCCUGGUCAUACAUGGAAGUCUAACAAGGGUUAACUAUGUUUAGUACUAAUGCAGGCAUGAUACUGUAUCAUAGUUACUGCAAGCCAUAGGGCAAGAGGAAGGAAACAGAACUCUGUAUUCCUAACCAUGGACUAGCAGAUUGAGAAUGCGUGCACUGGGGCCCAGAGGCAUUGUAAAGCAGUUUCAUUAGUGAGUUAAAAUAUCAUGUUGCCAGAACCGGGUCAUUGAAAAGACAGGUGAAUUAAGCUUGUGUGAUUGAUGGUUAAUGGGUUAUACUAUGCAGUAAGGGCAAUCAGGAGGAUUACUGCAGUUACUUUUCUGUAUAUAAUUGCUCUUGUACAUAUAAUAAGGGUUAUCUCCCCCCACACACAUUGUUAUUAAAAUUUGUGGCAUUCUGUUUUGUUUUUAUUAACUUGUCUAAUUUUUUGAAUAAAACUUAAUUUUAUUCCUCA